rnacentral:rRNA from 1 species
UACGAAGGUGGCAAGCGUUACUCGGAAUUACUAGGCGUAAAGGGCAGGUAGGUGGUCUGGUAAGUCUGUUGUGAAAGCUCCUUGCUUAACGGGGAGAGGUCAACAGAUACUGCCAGGCUUGAGUCUAGGAGAGGGUACUGGAAUUCCCGGUGUAGCGGUGAAAUGCGCAGAGAUCGGGAGGAACACCAAUGGCGAAAGCAGGUACCUGGACUAGUACCGACACUCAGCUGCGAAAGCUAGGGGAGCAAACAGG